rnacentral:tRNA from 1 species
UCCCUACUAGUUCAGCUAGUAAAGAAUCCACCUGCAAUGUGGGAGACCUGGGUUCCAUCCCUAGGUUGGGAA